rnacentral:rRNA from 1 species
UACGUAGGGUGCGAGCGUUGCCCGGAUUUAUUGGGCGUAAAGGGCGCGUAGGCGGCUCGGCACGUCCGUUGUGAAAUCGCCCGGCUCAACUGGGCGGGGUCAGCGGAUACGGUCGAGCUUGAGCAAGCUAGGGGGCAAUGGAAUUCCCGGUGUAGUGGUGGAAUGCGUAGAUAUUGGGAGGAACACCAGUGGCGAAGGCGGUUGCCUGGAGCUUUGCUGACGCUGAGGCGCGAAAGCGUGGGGAGCAAACAGG